rnacentral:rRNA from 1 species
UCUACCUUAUCGUGGGGGACAACGUAGGGAAACUUACGCUAAUACCGCAUACGACCUACGGGUGAAAGCAGGGGACCUUAGGGCCUUGUGCGAUUGGAUGAGCCGAUGUCCGAUUAGCUAGUUGGUGAGGUAAAGGCUCACCAAGGCGACGAUCGGUAGCUGGUCUGAGAGGAUGAUCAGCCACACUGGAACUGAGACACGGUCCAGACUCCUACGGGAGGCAGCAGUGGGGAAUAUUGGACAAUGGGCGCAAGCCUGAUCCAGCUAUGCCGCGUGGGUGAAGAAUGCCUUCGGGUUGUAAAGCCCUUUUGUUGGGGAAGAAAGGCAAUUGGUUAAUACCUAGUUGUU